GAUGAACGCUAGCUACAGGCUUAACACAUGCAAGUCGAGGGGCAGCAUGGUCUUAGCUUGCUAAGGCCGAUGGCGACCGGCGCACGGGUGAGUAACACGUAUCCAACCUGCCGUCUACUCUUGGACAGCCUUCUGAAAGGAAGAUUAAUACAAGAUGGCAUCAUGAGUCCGCAUGUUCACAUGAUUAAAGGUAUUCCGGUAGACGAUGGGGAUGCGUUCCAUUAGAUAGUAGGCGGGGUAACGGCCCACCUAGUCUUCGAUGGAUAGGGGUUCUGAGAGGAAGGUCCCCCACAUUGGAACUGAGACACGGUCCAAACUCCUACUGGAGGAAGCAGUGAGGAAUAUUGGUAAAUGGGCGAGAGCCUGAACCAGCCAAGUAGCGUGAAGGAUGACUGCCCUAUGGGUUGUAAACUUCUUUUAUAAAGGAAUAAAGUCGGGUAUGGAUACCCGUUUGCAUGUACUUUAUGAAUAAGGAUCGGCUAACUCCGUG
rnacentral:rRNA from 1 species